CAUUAGGUGGCCGAAAGUUAAGCACUGGUCUCUUAAACCAAUCAAUAGUAUUUUUACUCCUAAUG
rnacentral:tRNA from 1 species